rnacentral:lncRNA from 1 species
CUGUGAAUGACACGGACAAGCUAAUGGCCUAAGCAGCACUGAGACAAGUUCAGGACAUCUUGUGACACCCUACCAAAGAAGGUGAGUUGAGGCCAUGAGUAUGCAACUCUUCUGACCUUAGCUUUUGUUGCAUAGGAAUGAGGACAACGUGGUAGACCAAAGGCAGGCAAAUACGUUCCAGUAUUUCAUAAAUGCAAACACUCACAGGAUUUAUGCUAGUUGAAAUUCAGAUUAAUUUAUUUCUUAAUUAGGAUUACCCACACUUUGCUAAUACAAAAGGAAAAGAAAUCCACUGCCUGAUAUAAUAUGGCCUUAUAUGCUAUCUCAUAAAAGUCUUAAUGUAAAUCUCCAUUCAAACAGGAAAACUCAGUGGUGAAAUAUGAGACAACCUCCAGGCAUCUGGGGAACUUUCAUCCCAUCAGAUAAGGCAACAGGCUGGUUUGCAGCCUAGAUGUGUUUCUACCCACCACAUCAAUACCAGUAAGUUCAUCUUUCCAUUUUCACUGAAGUUGCUUAGUAACAGAAGAUGAGGGUAAGGCGUGUCCAGACUGCAUUGCAAUGUCCUGUCUUCAGGUUCAUUGAAAAAGAUGGACU